rnacentral:rRNA from 1 species
UACGUAGGGUGCGAGCGUUAAUCGGAAUUAUUGGGCGUAAAGCGUGCGCAGGCGGUUUUGUAAGCCAGAUGUGAAAGCCCCGGGCUUAACCUGGGAAUGGCAUUUGGGACUGCAAGGCUGGAGUGUGGCAGAGGAGACUGGAAUUCCUGGUGUAGCAGUGAAAUGCGCAGAUAUCAGGAAGAACACCCGUGGCGAAGGCGGUUCUCUGGGACGGUACUGACGCUGAGACGCGAAAGCGUGGGGAGCGAACAGG